rnacentral:rRNA from 1 species
CUAAUACCGAAUAAGUUCCAAGAGCCGCACGGCCCAUGGAAGAAAAGGUGGCCUCUACCUGUAAGCUAUCGCCUGAAGAGGGGUUUGCGUCUGAUUAGCUGGUUGGAGGGGUAACGGCCCACCAAGGCGACGAUCAGUAGCCGGUCUGAGAGGAUGAACGGCCACACUGGAACUGAGACACGGUCCAGACUCCUACGGGAGGCAGCAGUGGGGAAUCUUCCGCAAUGGGCGAAAGCCUGACGGAGCAACGCCGCGUGAGUGAUGACGGCCUUCGGGUUGUAAAACUCUGUGAUCCGGGACGAAAAGGCAGAGUGCGAAGAACAAACUGCAUUGACGGUACCGGAAAAGCAAGCCACGGCUAACUACGUGCCAGCAGCCGCGGUAAUACGUAGGUGGCAAGCGUUGUCCGGAAUUAUUGGGCGUAAAGCGCGCGCAGGCGGCUUCCCAAGUCCCUCUUAAAAGUGCGGGGCUUAACCCCGUGAUGGGAAGGAAACUGGGAAGCUGGAGUAUCGGAGAGGAAAGUGGAAUUCCUAGUGUAGCGGUGAAAUGCGUAGAGAUUAGGAAGAACACCGGUGGCGAAGGCGACUUUCUGGACGAAAACUGACGCUGAGGCGCGAAAGCGUGGGGAGCAAACAGGAUUAGAUACCCUGGUAGUCCACGCCGUAAACGAUGGAUACUAGGUGUAGGAGGUAUCGACCCCUCCUGUGCCGG